rnacentral:rRNA from 1 species
AGUUAAUAUAAUUGUUUUAUUUAUUAUUAUUGUAUUUAAUUGAAUUAAAUAAAUAUUAGUUUUUGUAUUUUAUAUUGAUAAGAUUUUUUUUACUAUAGUUUAUUAGUACUGUGAAGGAAAUUUUUUUGUUAAUAUAAUUUUUUUAAGGUAAUUUUGUUAAUUGUAUCUUGUGUAUCAGAGUAUACUAAAAUAUAUUAUGUAAUUUUUUUUCUCGAAUUUAAAAGAUUUAAUUGAAUAAUCUAGUUAUUGUGUCAAAAAUAUUAGUAAUUUUCAAUUGGUAAUGAAAUGUUAAUCGUUUUUAAGGAUAUCUAGUUUUUUAAUAAAUGAAUUUAAUUCAGAGUAUAUAAUUUAUUAAAUAAUUUUAUGUUAUAAUAUUUUGUAUACUUAAUUUUAAGGGGGAUAAACUUUUUAAAAUGUAAUUAUAAUAUAAUGGUUUAUUAGGAUUUCAUGAAUUUAGAAUUUGUUAUUGAUUUAAGGAUGUUAAAAUUUAAUUCUUGAUUUUGGGAAUUUUUAAUUGGUUUAAUUUUUAUAUUAAAAUAUUAGUUUUAAUUUUGAAUUUUAAAAAGUAAUGGUUUAAUUAGUAAAUGUUUUAUUAUAUUAUUGUUUAGUUUUUAAAAAUUAUAUAAAGAAUUAGGCAAAAAUUUCGCUCACCUGUUUAUUAAAAACAUGGUUUUUUGUAUUUAUUUAAAAGAUCUGACCUGCCCACUGAAUUAAGUUUGAAGGGCCGCAGUAUUUUGACUGUGCGAAGGUAGCAUAAUCAUUAGUCUUUUAAUUGAAGGCUUGUAUGAAAGGUUGAAUGAGGUGAAUACUGUUUUAUGUGAUAUAAUUGAAUUUAGGUUUUAAGUAAAAAUACUUAAAUUAAAUUAAGGGACGAGAAGACCCUAUAGAGUUUAAUAAAUGUAAUAGUAAACUGAGUUAUUAAGAAAUUUUUGGUUUUUAUUAAAUUUAUUUAAUUGGGGUGAUUAAAGGAUAUAUAAAACUCCUUUUUAAUUUUAAUAUAGAUAAAUAGAUAUAUGAUCCAUUAUUAUUGAUUAUAAGAUUAAAUUACCUUAGGGAUAACAGCAUAAUUUUCUUUAAGAGUUCUUAUCGAAAAGGAAGAUUGUGACCUCGAUGUUGGAUUAAGAUUUGUUUAGGGUGUAGAUGUUUAUAAACUAGGUCUGUUCGACCUUUAAAAUCUUACAUGAUCUGAGUUUAAACCGGCGUGAGCCAGGUUGGUUUCUAUCUUUAAUUUUAUGAAAUACUUUAGUACGAGAGGACCAGGUAUUUGAAAUAAUUUUUAUUUAAUGAUUAUUAAUAAUUA